CCCAGCCCCACCCACCAGAGCAAGCUGCGGCCACGCCACCCAGCCAGUCAGAACAGCUCCAGCCAGGCCAGAGACAUCCUCCUCUGGCCCACCCCAGCAUGAAAAGCUGGCAAUGGAGCGAGGGCUGUGCCAGACAGAGAACCUGAGAAGCAGUCCAGGGAGCAGAGUCACAGCAACAACAGCCAGAGAAGCAGCCUAAGAAGCAGUCUUCUUAAAGGGGAAUUUCCCUGGACCACUUGAAGAAAGAAACAAAGAAGGAACAGCAUUUCACGUCACAAAACGAGGGAGAGAGAGAACACACAAACCCUGCAGUGGAGAGGGGAAAUUUAACGUGCUUCUCUUAAUUUAGGCUUUUAACUUUCACUGACAGCUGGAGUGCAAGCAAUCAGCAGGAUCUUGGGAAACGAGGCAUUAGUACCAAAAGCAGGAAUAUUGCAUACACAAUAUAUGGCAUUUAGGUUUAAAAAAAAAAAGUUCUGUAACUUUGUUCCAGUUGUAUUAAUCUUGUUCUAUAUGGUUUUGUGAUAUAAUCCAGAAUGCUGGUCAGCUGUGGAUCCUCAGUCACCAAGCUGCCAAGGUUUAGAUCACAUAAUUCAGAAUCCAAAGACAGACAAUUGGAGAGAACUGGGUCUCUCCUCAGUCUGAGCCAGCACAAAAGCAUUUGCACUCAAACUACUGAUACUUUUGGUCCAAUUUAAAUCACUGCCACAUGGAACACUUGUUAAAGAGCAACUUGAAUUCUUUUUAAAGGAAACUAAAGUCCUCACUCAACACUUGCAUUUCUACAGAAUCAAACAAAGGCAUUUCAGCAACAAUUAUGGGGGAGACUUUCGAAAGGCACAAAGGGUGAUUAGGUGACCAACUUCCAUGGACAACCACUUAACUGCACUUUGGGCUUCUGAAAGCCUCCCCCUUAUAACGCUUGUAUGAAAUGAGUUCAUGGAGUCCAUCCAGUUUAGGGUGACCAGAUGUCCCAAUUUUAUAGGGCCAGUCCCAAUAUUCAGGGCUUUUUCUUAUAUAGGUGCUUAUUACCUCCUCACUCCCAUCAUGAUUUUUCACACUUGCUAUCUGGUCACCCUAGUCCAGUUCCAAGUGGAAAGUGCAUCAGAAAAACAACCACCACUACUGGUACCAUAGUGAUAGUGUCAAUAGAGAGGUCAAGGACAGAAUAAGUAUAAAAACUCUCACCCCUGGAUUGAAGCCCAAUGAGGGGGCAUGGAGAAUCUUACAUUGCCAAAGCCCUAGAUAUACCCGAGUAUUGAUAAAGAGCGAGCUUCUGUAUUUAGGAUUUUCAGUCUGGCAUCUCUCACCAGUACAAACAGAGUUCUUUUAAAAAAAUUGUACCAAAAGUUAUUUUUUUGUAGGUCUGCAAAUUAGCUCUCUUGUGAUUGCCAACUUCCUUCUGCAUUCACACACCAGUAUAAACUGCAACAGAUGUGCCAGUAUCUUCUACAGAUAAGUGUCGGAACAAUGAGUCAACUUGUAGGAUUAAAAAGAACAGGAGUACUUGUGGCACC